rnacentral:pre_miRNA from 1 species
CCAUCAGAGUGAAGAAGUUAUGUUGUGUUGAGGAACUGAUUUAACCCUGAGUUUGAAGUUCCUCAACACAACAUAACUUCUUCACUCUGAUGG